rnacentral:rRNA from 1 species
GUCUUUUUGAAUUAAUUUAAAGUCUAACCUGCCCAAUGAAAUUUUAAUGGCCGCAGUAUUUUGACUGUGCAAAGGUAGCAUAAUCAUUAGUUUCUUAAUUAGAAGCUGGAAUGAAAGGUUGAACGAAAAAGUUACUGUCUCUAAUAUAAUAUUUAAAAUUUUAUUUUUAAGUAAAAAAGCUUAAAUGAGUUUAAAAGACGAGAAGACCCUAUAGAGUUUUAUAUGUAGUAUAAAUUAAAUUUUUAUUAGAAAUUUAUAUUAUGAUUUAUAUAUAGAUAUUUAAUUGGGGUGAUUAAAAAAUUUAAUAAACUUUUUAUAUAUUGUAACAAAAAUUAUUGAAUAUGUGAUCCAUAAUAAUGAUUAAAAGAUUAAAUUACCUUAGGGAUAACAGCGUAAUUUUUUUUUAGAGUUCUAAUCGAUAAAAAAGUUUGCGACCUCGAUGUUGGAUUAAAAUUUCUUUUUGGUGUAGAAAUUAAAAAUGUUGGUCUGUUCGACCAUUAAAAUUUUACA